GUCAGGGUCAUUCUCAAACACAUUUGGAGCUCAUUGCUGGGGGUUCAAAUUGAUUGACGGACGUAGCUCCAGGAUACUCCUGAACACUCCUGAAUGGGUAGGUGCUGUGCAGCACGCGAAACACUGGUAAGCUUUGGAUUUUGUAUUAAUAUUGUUUCUUCUUUUAAGACCAGUGUUCUGUGGCUGCAGCGCAGAGUCUGCCGACUGUGUCCCGGUUUAGCGGUGGCGUCAUGCGCUUGUAGGGUCGGACAGCCGAGAUUCCACCAGCUGCAUCUGAUGUAGUUUCCUAAGCAUCUCCUCAUCCUGCUGUUUCUGGGCACGCUCCUUCUUCCGGUGUAGCUCCACCAGAUGAGCCACAUGAUCUGUGUAGGCAGCUCUAGUCAUGCUCCUCAGAGAAACCACUUCUGGUAGUAGGGGCAGCCCCCUCUGUAUUUUACUUCGCAGAAUCGACUUCUCCAUCUGGUUCACUUCUGGGUCAUUUCCUGUGACAUUUCUCCACGUCUGAUGAGCCCUCGACACAUAGGCCCUCGCAUUCUCCUCUGAACCUCUACUUGCAGCCUUUCUGCUGACCUGUCUUAUGGGUGGACACCAACACCUGCAUUGUUUCUAUCACAUCAGGACUGAAAGUUCCCUCUACUGGCCAAGGUCGGUCGAUAAUCAGGCCACCGCUUGCUCCACUUCCGCGACAUCUCUGCAAUACCUUCAACAAGCGGAUUGUUCUUUUGGACUACAUCAACAGGUGUAAUCACUCUCCUAACUAUACGGUCCCUCUUUGACAUCAUGCACUCAACAGCCUUUAAGCCAAAUCAACCUCUCUACAAAUGUUUAAUAAUCCUCUAAAUCAAUAAUGAUCUACUAAUCAAUUAAAUGCCUCAGAUGGUCAGUCUGUUGUCAAGCUUCCUCCCCAAUAAUCAAACCA
ensembl:lncRNA